rnacentral:rRNA from 1 species
AUUGAACGCUAACGGCGUGCUUAACACAUGCAAGUCGAGCGGCAGCAUGAUCUGCAGCAAUACAGAUUGAUGGCGAGCGGCGGACGGGUGAGUAACAUAUAGGAAUCUGCCUUGUAGUGGGGGAUAACCCGGGGAAACUCGGGCUAAUACCGCAUAAUCUCUACGGAGCAAAGUGGGGGACCGUAAGGCCUCACGCUAAAAGAUGAGCCUAUAUUGGAUUAGCUAGUUGGUGAGGUAAUGGCUCACCAAGGCGACGAUCCAUAGCUGGUCUGAGGGGAUAAUCAGCCACACUGGGACUGAGACACGGCCCAGACUCCUACGGGAGGCAGCAGUGGGGAAUAUUGGACAAUGGGCGCAAGCCUGAUCCAGCAACGCCGUGUGUGUGAAGAAGGCCUUCGGGUUGUAAAGCACUUUUAGUUGGGAAGAAAAGCUUAUGGUUAAUAACCAUGAGUGAUGACGUUACCAACAGAAAAAGCACUGGCUAACUCUGUGCCAGCCGCCGCCGUAA